ensembl:lncRNA
ACCAGCCGCUGCCAGAGCUGAAUCCUGAACAAUGCUGGUUGUUCUCGGGGAGAGCAGAUUUAGGGAAAACAGAGAAUCGAGGAGAAACAGUCUUUUAGGCAUGAAGGUUUGUGCAGGAGGAGCUCCAGGCACACAGCAGCAGCUCUCUGCCACUCAAGAGAGGCCCAUGGAGGAGCAGGACAUCCCCCUGUAUCCCAUGGGCACCCCAUGGAACAGAUCGCCCCGUGCAGCCAUGGACGAGCUGUGGUGCAGCUGUGGAUGAAGUCUGAAGGAGGCUCAGCCCACAUAUACCACUUCAGGAGCAACCUGGGCUGGAGCUGCAGUCCAUUAGGAGCUGUGGGGAGCAGUGCUGGGUGAGCUGCAGUUUGUGGGAAGCCCAUUUGAGCUCCAUUUGGGAAGGACGUCAGCCAUGGGAUCCACAAGGAACAAAGGCACUCUUCCAUCUAUGAGGAUGUGUGAGUAGCUUUUGUCCAGUGAAAAGGAACCUUUGUUUGAAGGAACUUCUGUGAAGAGUGCCACUACAGAGAAAGUCAGGCACUAGUGAUGCAGAGGGAUCUGGCAGUGCUGGAAGAUCUAUGGACUGGGACACACAGUGCAUGAGUCUAUUUGAAACUGUUUGAUAAGUUACUCUGCUCACAGAACAAUUUGCUAAACCUGCUGCAUAUAUACAUGUUUGUUUAACAGCUCAGCGCUCUGCUUUUACUGUUGUAAAUGGAUCGUUCCAUCCAGAAGAUGGCGCUGUCUGCAUUUACUUCCAAAUUACUUACCACAGAAAAAAAAAUUCUAUCCAAUUCAACCUUGAGUGUGGUAAGUUAUUGAGGGUACCUUUCUAAUAGAAGCUGUUAAUACAGCCUUGCUCCCGAGGCUUUCAAUUUACAAAUAAUUUUCAUAACAUUUCCACAUGAGAGCUUCUCUAGUCAUCUUAUAUUAAUAUAGCCUAGUAUGUUAAAGCAAUCUCACUUUUUGACCACUGGACCAUACAGAUUAGAUUAAAAAAAAAAAAAAAAAAAAAAAACCCUAACAUUUUAUUUAAUGUUGUAACUGCAAAGUUGACUUUCUAACAGGAAUAUCUAUAAAUUUCUCUGUCAUACUAAUUCUUUAUGGAAGAUGAGGGAUCUUUGCAAUAUAUAUUAUAUGUAACUCUGUAAAGAUGCAUAUGCAUGCAAGUAUUGUUUCUGAUAUAAUUUAUGAACUGUAAUAUUAAAACCAGCAUGAGAAAUCAUGAUUUUUAGUUCAGAAAUAAUGAUUUUUAGUUCAGAAAUAUUGCCUCAAAUUUCUUACAAACUUCACAUUGCAGUGUUAUGUUUCUGUAUUUCCAAUUGAUUUGAUAUUUCUGCAUAAUUAAAAGCAGAAUUUCCUGGCUUUGUGUUUCUUUUUAUCCUCUUUUGUAGGCGGAUGCUGAUUUAGUUUGAAAAACUUUUCAAAAUUAACACACUUUGUGAAAUUUUGCAGGUAAUUCACUUCUGUGCAGGAUCGCAGAACACAUGACAAGCUGGGUCGUAAACAUCCAUGGAAUUGCUGUUUACCUGUAGUCAGUAAUCACAACUUUCUGAUCAGCCUCUCAGGUACAGGUAUUAAAUCUUUACUGUUUAGUUGGCAGUUUUGAUAUAGCUGGUGAGGUUGCUUCAUUCAUGGGGUUUUGAUGAGAAAGCAGAAAUAUAUGGGAACAGUCAGAAAAUAUGAGGAAGAAACAUGUAGACAUGAAUAUAAUUUUUUUUUCCCCAAAUUUCUGGGAAUUUGGGAAUUUGAGCUGGAAUUUGUCUCACUGCAGCUUGUACCCAUUGUCCUUUUUUGUUGUUGUUGUUGUUGUUGUGGACCUCCUAUAAAAUGCUAGAUUCAGCUUCUCUACAACCACACAUUGAAUAGUUGAAGAGAGCAAUAAGAUCUUCCAUUAACCUUCCCUUCUCUAGGCCAAACAGUCCCAGCAAUCUCAAGGAUUACUUACAUGUCUUAUGUUGUGUACCAUUAAUCAUCUUGGUGAUUGCCAUCAAAUGAAAUGAGCAAAUGAAAUGUGAACCUCCACGUCUCUCAUAUUGCUCUAGUGUUAUAAUUCUGCAAUAUAAAAUUUACUUUUAAUAUAUGUAUGAUAUAUAGCUCUAUACUGUGCGCACAUUCUCUUACUGUAUUGACCAUAGCACUGUUUUCUUGAACUUUUUGAGAGUUAAAAUAAAAAUCCAGAGCAAUAUUACUUCUUAGAAAUGAAGAUUUGUGGAAUUGUGAAAUUAAAGUAUAUGUUAUCCAUAUCAGAAUACAUUUGUAGUUUCUUGGCUAAAAUGAAAAAGUUAGCAUAUUUGUAUUAAAAAAAAAAAAAAGGUUGAAGUAAAUGAGGAAUUUUUUCCCCUUUUCUUUAAAACUUUUUUUUUUCUCCACGAGGUUGAUCUGAUUUGAAAAAUAAACACUUCUGUCUUCCAAGUGAAAUAUUUUAUUAAGCUUAAGUGUGAAUGAGUUUUUCCAGUAUUAUACUUAUCAAUAAAAAUUCAGAUUUUAUGAAAUAAUUAAAGCAACAGCUAUCAGAACAUUGCUUCUGUUUAUUUUGACAGUAAGUAGGAACACUUAUUUUACACAGGAAAAAGAUUUCCCAAUUUAGAAGAAAAAAAUAUUUGUAAUUCAUAAUUAUACCAAUUCAAAAAAUAAACUUGUAGAAAUAAACCACUUGAAACCGUCUGGUGUUAGCAAAUUAACCUAGAAAGAUACAUUUCUUAGAGUUAAAAUAACUUUGAGAUAAUAUUAGAUAUUAUUUGAAUGACCUUUUAAAAUACAGUUGUUAUUCAAUUUAGCUGGAUAUGUAGAUAGAAUAACAGGGCAAAUCAACCAGAGAAACUAUUGUAUACAUCUCAUUUUAUGUUAAUCUUUAGUGAAACAUAGGGAAGUAUUUUGGUGAAGAACUACAAAUUGAUUCUGUAUGCUACUUUAAAUCCAAUUAAAAGGCUUUUUAAUAGUUACUACAUGAUGUGAAAGAGUACCACAGAAAUUUUGCAAGACUUGAUGAACCAGUAUUGACAUUUAAUUUUCUUUCUCUUGUUUCUCUCCUCUCCAAUCUUGAACACCCAGUAUUACUUUUAUUAUAUUUGCUCAUCCUUACACUUGAGAUUAAUCAGUCUGUACGUUAGGCAAAUGGAGCCAGGUGAUAGUUCCAAAAUGCCAUGUUUACAAGGAGCUGUCUGGUCAUUAUCUUACCACUGAUGUUAUAUAACAGUUUAUCCAACAAAACCAUCCUCCAUUUGGAAAUCUGAGACUCCUGCUGAACUUUACUUUUUAGGGAAAUGAGUCCUUGUACAAAUCAUAACAUAGCAGCUGAAUUUUUCUGAAAGAUGCUGCAGUGGUGAUUUUUCUGUUGCUAUGAAAAUAUACUAAUUUUCUCACGGUAUAAUUCUGCAGAUGUAGAAACAAACAAAAAAAACCUUGGAACACACUCCAAACUCACAAUGUUCUCUACUACUUAAUUUUUGAAAAUUUGUUAAGAUUUGCUGUGUUAUGUGAGGUAGUGUGAAAACAUUUGCUGAAAGUAAGCUGUAUUACUAACUUAAGAUGACGUAGUAGGUAUCUCAAUUGACUUAUUUGAAGUCUGCUCUGACGCUGAUCCUCUAAAGCUGACUGAGAUUCUGUUGGACUGAGAUUCACAUCUGGAAUUUUUAUGAUGUCUCCAUUUCUUCUUGGGGAAUCCUGUUUCUUAAGCUUCCAUCUAUAAAAUAGAGGCAAUUAUAAAGUUUUUGGAAUUGACCAUAACAUAUCCAACGAUCAGUCCUCUGGACUUGCCAUAACUUUCAUGAGAGAUGACUGUUCAGCCAGUUUGUUCUAGGAGACUGUAUUUUGUCUGAAAAUUCAUUGACCUCUGUUUUUUUUCUUUAAAAUUACUAUCUGUGUCACUAAUUCUAACUAAUAUUCUCUGGUCUACUCUAUGUGUUGUUGCAGCUUACUUUAAAAUCAAUAUCCAAUCUUUCAAUUAGUGACCAAUUUUGAUUAUUUCUUUCUAUGUUCAUCUUGCACUUGCGAAUGUUUAAUGCUCCCUUACUCUUUUCAUUAAAUAACAGAAGCUAGAAGACCUCCAUGGUCAGAACUGUACUGAAUACUACCCUCAAAGUGUUCAGAGAAUAUUGAUAAAUAUUCUUGAGUGUUUUUGAAAUUUCUGUGCAAAUUUUUAAGAAUUUACAUCUAAAGUAUAUCACUGUAAAGUUGAUGUGAGAUUCUCACAAGAUAGGAUCAAAAUCUCAUUUGUAAUAUACUGCACCCAUUUCCUCUUAAAAUAUGAAGUUUUAUCAUUUCAUUACUUCCCUAGGAGUUUGAUUUUGUUUUUUAUUUUUUAAACUGCCUGGUUUGUUGUUUCUUCUACUCUUUUCUCCAUCUGCAAUGAUACUGUAAAUAUUUGUCUUUCACCUUUGUUUGAUCUAAAACUUACCUGUUAACAGUUCUAAGACAGUUUUCACAGUUUGCAGUGUUGCUUCAGCUUUUUUUAUGCUUUUCAGCUGAUUUGAGAAAAUUUACUUUUAUGUAGAUACUAUUUAGUCAGUUCCUUCAAUAUUCUAGUAUAUAUAUACUUUAUUCUUGUCUGCUGUAUCAAUCUUUUGUUCUCUACGUUUGUGAGUUACAUUCAGACACAGAUUGGACUGAUACAACAGAGUAUUCUUAAACAUAUGUCCUGUAACAAAUGAAAGAGGCAUAUUCCAGAGUCAAGACUUCGAUCACAGCUUCUCAAAACUGAAGUUGUUGUUUUGCAAAAUUUUUAAAUCUCUGUCUCCCUUUCACGAGGCUUUUGUCCCAUCCUUCUGUUCUAGCCUUUGCCCAGAUCUUUCCUGCUUUUACUGUUACGUUUUAAAACGUAGCUCAAGUUUUUGGUCUUCCAUUCUCUGAGGCACUUACUAUUGUGUACCAUGGAAUUUCUCUCUUUUGCAGUUUACACAUUCCUUAAGUGGAGUUAAAUUUGAGUCCACCUUUUCUUCUGCUGGAGUGUAGAUGUCCCGUUUUCUCUGUGUGUUUUUUUUUUUUAAGUGUGAGUUUACAGCAACUUUGAAGAGCUCAUUUUUGACUGCUGCAGAUAUUGGUGAACAAAUAUCUCUUCAUGUGAGCUCCUUUCAACUGAUAGUUUCUCUCUGGUGUUAGAUGAGUGCAGAUCCAGUUCUUGUAUCCUUAGGCUGAAUGGAUGUUCCUAAGCUCUUCUGCUUGUUGACUAAUUUGAUUUCCUAGAAUGUCCAUCUUUGGAGGAAAAAAAAGAAAGAGAGAGAGAGGAAAUAAUUAAUAAUUCACUCAGAAAAUACUAUCCAUACCUUAUCUUGACCAGGUAAAACCUCAGCUGAUCUCACGAGAGGAAGAAGUCUUUCAAGUGUGUUGAUUAUAUUAACUCAGUCAUGUAAUCUUGAUUUGUUUUCACCUGUGACACCAUUUGAUAUUCUUAUUAAUCUCAUCUUCUAAUGCUUAAUGUUCAAUGUCUUUAUUUUUAUGCUACACAUACUAUAUAUUCUUUGAAUGAAAAAUGGAUUAUGUACAUUUAGGCCAGAAACACAAUGAAAAUGUCAUAAAUGCUGCAUAUGGCUCAAAACAACAAGGAAACAUUUGGUAGCAAGGUUUCAGUAAAACUGUCAUAAACUAGAUGUUGCAUCAUAACUCACAUAUGGUUUCAGGUUUUUGAGUGGCAGAUGCUCUACAGCAAACUGAUAGCAUUAAUCAAAAGUACAGUAGGAAAGACUGACCAGUCCAUGCUUAUUAUGGAGGUCACUAAGUCCUUGUAUAUUUUCUCUUUGGUUUCAAGCACCAGUCAAAACAUUACUAACGAUAUGCUGCAGUAACUAUUGCUAGAAGAAACUAUGUUCUCUUUGCUACUUAACUACUAAUAUUGAUAAAGAUAAGAUUCAGUGAUUGAGCUCAAUUCAGAGAAACAAAUUUAGACAUCUGAGUUCAGUAUGACCUGCAUUGAAAUUCAGCUGUUCUGACUCACAUUUUUGAGUGGUUAUACUUUCAGCUUUGUGUCAUUUGCUGUCCUAAAUAGUGCAUACACACACAAAUAUUUUUAAAGAAAAUUGGUUUUAAAAAAAUAAAAUAAUUUCUGGGAUAACUCAGGUUAUUUUAUUUGGAGGUUUAAGGGUUAAUUUUAAACAAGCUUAUAGUGCUUUCCUCAUUUCCCUACCAGGACUCCUAUUUUAGUCUGUAUUAGAAUCUUGGCCUUUUUUUAAAGAAAUGGAGACAUUUUGCAGUAAGUCCAUCUGUAUAUAUAUGAAUAAAAAGUUCAUAAACAAUUGACUUUCUGCCAGUGAAAUAACUAAAUUUCACAAAAGUGUAAGCUCCUCACAUGGAGGAAGAUAGGUUCUACAAACCCUCUUUAAAAAAUGAAAAUAAUUUCAUAGAAAUAUUGGGCUAAAAUGCUUCUCUGGUUCAGGUAAAAUAUUCCAUGUGUUUGCUGGAACAUAUACCCUAUUAAAAAAUAAAAACAAAAACAAAACUUUGCAGCUGCCAUUAAGGAUAAUUUUAUUUCUUAUUUGUUCUGGAGCUCUUAGUUUAAGCACCUUGGACCAAGCAGCCCAGCAGUCUUUUUAACAAAUCAUAGUGUUGUAAUGUAUUCCUAAUGCGUUAUAUUUGCUAUGGCACAAAUCAGAAUUCAGGAGAUAUGUAACUUCUAUAGCUAUAAGGGAUGGGAAAGAGAAUGAGAAUGUAUAAGUGGUUUGAUAACCAUUCUACCAUUGUUCUCAGUAUCUUUGCACUUCAGCAUUUGGGAUAUUUCAUUGUAAGUUUGCAGGAAAGUCUGAAAGAAAGCCUUUCUAUAGCGUGACUUCCUUUAAUAAUGUUUUCAGUGUAAGACUGUGCGUAUGACUCAUCUUGACAGAGGUAAAAUACCUCUUGAAUUUUAAUUAGAAAACAGCAUGUUAUGGCCAUCCCAAAUUGUGGGUUUUUUUUUCACAGUUGUGAAUUAUGCAUUCAGUUUUUUUUCUAAUACUAACACUAGAAUCCCUACCAUGUUGGUCAACCCAUUAUGUUUUGUAAUCAGUAGCUCUUUCUUAAGAUUUGAGUUAAGUAUAUUACUGGGGGUUGGGGCUGCAGGGGUAAUUUGUGAAUGUUUGAAGUAUACUUUAUAUUUCUGUAAAGGCUUUAAGUAGAGUAUUUGAAUUAUUAUGUUAGCUGUAUAGGAAAACAGAUAAGACACAUAAAAUUGAGGAUAAGAAUAGAUCAUUAAGAAAAAGCUUGCCCAUUUCCUUCAACUCUUAAUGAGAAAUAAAUCCAAACUAAGUUUGGUGCAUGUUGUGGUUUUACCUGGCAGGUAGGUCAGCACCAUGCAGAUAUUUACUGACAUUGAUCCACUUCCCAGUGAGAUAGGGGAGAGAAUAAAAGAAAAGAAAAAGCAAAAACAUAGAAAUCAUAGUCUGAGAUAAAAACUAUUUAUUAAAGCAGAAAAGGAAAAGAAAAAAACAAAAGCAGUAACGUACAUAUAUGUAUAUACAUUUACAAAACAAAUAAUGUAUAAUGCUCACCACCUGCCAACAGAUGUCCAUUUGGUCCAUGAGCUGCAGCUGCCCCUCUCAGCUAAUUCCCCACAGUUUAUAGUUUUCACAUUAUGUUGUCAUAUGGUAUAGGUCAUCCCUUUUGGCCAACUCAGUUGAGCUGUCUUGGUUCUAUACCCUUUCAAAUUCUUGUGCCCUCCUAGUUCCUCACACUACUGGCAGGGCAGUGUGAGAAGCUGAAAUAUCCUUGGCUCUGUGCACCCACUGCUCAGCAGCGUUUAAAACAUUAACAUGUUAUCAACAUUAUUUUUCUCCUAAAGCCAAUCAUACCAGACACUAAGAAGAUAAUAAACUCUAGCCUAAUGAAAUCCAGAACAAUAUAUAAUCUAGAAAUAAUUUAAGAGACUUUUUAAAACAGUAAAAUGGAUUUCCUAUUUACACAUCCUUUGCACUUUAAAGAUGCUUACAUUCUGUUUUUUCCUUUUUUACACAUUUUGUUUAACAUAAAGUAUUUAAAUGCGUAGUAUGAACAUUUGUGUAAUGAUGAUGAGGCUAAAUUUUUAUUUCUUACAUUCAUUUAGAAUCUGAGUAAGAAACCAGAAAAAUUUAAAAAAUAAAAUAAAAUCAGAUGUCUUCCCAUUUAGUAGUAGAACCGUGUAGAUUUUAUGUUAUAGGUUUAUACAGUAAACACUGAAGACUGUAGUCUGGAAAAUUUCUUGCUGUUAGCAGUGAUUAAAAGUGCAAAUUGAGUAUUAUGAAUGUUAAGGUAAGUAAGGAAAUCUCAAAUGAAAAAAUUUAAAGUAGAUUAUUUGCAUUCAUGUCAAAAAAGGAAGAGCAAUUGUUAAGAAAGAUUAGACUAUAGGGUUCAUGAGAGGAUUGAUCUGUCUUUCACAGAAAAGAUUAAGAAUUCAUCAGGUUGAAAAAAAGAUGAUUUGAGUGUACUGUUCAACAGUAAAUUGAUAAAUGAUAUAAGUAGUGAUAGUCAUCUGUAAUUCUUGCAUCUUUUUUUAUCUUCAAAAUUAAUUAAAAGUAUAGCAUCAUGUGAGAUCACCUAGAAUGACAAAUCUCUUAAUGUAAUCUGCUGUCUGCAUUUAAGUAUCUGUUACCAUUAUGAAACUGAUGUAACACCAAUUUUUGAUGUAAAGAUGUGAAGAUAUUAUAUGACUGAAGAUAUAAUGAUAAACAUAUAGUAACUUUGGUUUUGAUAUUCCUUUAUUUUUAUUUUUGCUUUAUAUGAAUAUAUGAUUGUGAUUUGUAUUUGUUUAUGAUAAAACUUCAUGCAUUCUCCGUGAAUACAAUUUUUUCUUCAAUAUGAUUAAUUUCUGAUUCUGCUGCAUUCUUUGAUAUGAUGCCAUGUACAUUUCAGUAUUUUGAUCUUAUUUACCCUUGCCUUACAUUCUUGCUUUGAAUAAGUGAUUCCGUAGAAUCAUGGAAUGGCUUAGAUUGGGGAAGACUUUAAAAAGUCUUUAGUCUCAACAAUGAUGCCGUGGGCAGGGUUGCCUACCACCAGAUCCAGGCUACCCAGGGCCCCAUCCAGCCUUGCCAUGAACGCCUCCAGGGAUGGCGUAUCUUUGGGUAGUUCUUUGGGUAGCAUGUGCCAGCGCCUCGUCACCCCCUGAGUGUGGAAGGAUGGCUUACCCAGGGAGGUCGUGUUUAUCUCCCCCUGGGUCACUACGAGCAAAACAGGCUCUACGGAUCGCUGACUCGCAACAGACCAACGAUGGGAGUAGGCGGAUGGAAUGCAGAACUGCGAUACGAGACUGUUGUGCUAGCAGUCCUGAGACAAGCUGUGAUCAACCGCAAAUCAUCGGAACUAUGCCUUGUGUACUUAGCAUGCUAUUUGUACCUCUCUAUAUAAAUGGCUGUUUGCAGUUAUUAAAUGGCUUGGCUACUAGUAACCAUAUUGGUGUGUUGCCUCGUCCAUGCCACGCCUUGGCUGAAUAUUGUUCUCCAGGGAACCUC